UUCCACAUGGUCUAGCAGUCAGGAUUCCUGGUUUUCACCCAGGCAGCCUGGGUUUGACUCCCAAUGUGGGAA
rnacentral:tRNA from 1 species